rnacentral:rRNA from 1 species
GCAUAUCAAUAAGCGGAGGAAAAGAAACUAACAAGGAUUCCCCUAGUAACGGCGAGUGAAGCGGGAAAAGCUCAAAUUUUAAAUCUGAUAGUAUUACCUAUCCGAGUUGUAGUUUCAAGAGACGUUUUCGGUCCGCGCCUGGGUAUAAGUCCUUUGGAACAGGGCAUCAUAGAGGGUGAGAAUCCCGUUUAUGACUCGGAGUAGCAGACUAUGUGAUACGUUUUCAAAGAGUCAGGUUGUUUGGGAAUGCAGCCUAAAAUGGGUGGUAAAUUUCAUCUAAAGCUAAAUAUUGGCGAGAGACCGAUAGCGAACAAGUACCGUGAGGGAAAGAUGAAAAGAACUUUGAAAAGAGAGUUAAACAGUACGUGAAAUUGUUGAAAGGGAAACGUUUGAAAUCAGUCAUGUAAACAAGUAAUCAAUUUGGCUUUUUUUUUUU